UGACGUUGGGAAAGCGAGCGGCGGAUGGGUGAGUAACACGUGGGGAACCUGCCCCUAAGUCUGGGAUACCAUUUGGAAACAGGUGCUAAUACCGGAUAAUAAAGCAGAUCGCAUGAUCAGCUUUUGAAAGGCGGCGUAAGCUGUCGCUAAGGGAUGGCCCCGCGGUGCAUUAGCUAGUUGGUAAGGUAACGGCUUACCAAGGCGACGAUGCAUAGCCGAGUUGAGAGACUGAUCGGCCACAUUGGGACUGAGACACGGCCCAAACUCCUACGGGAGGCAGCAGUAGGGAAUCUUCCACAAUGGACGCAAGUCUGAUAGAGCAACGCCGCGUGAGUGAAGAAGGUUUUCGGAUCGUAAAGCUCUGUUGUUGGUGAAGAAGGAUAGAGGUAGUAACUGGCCUUUAUUUGACGGUAAUCAACCAGAAAGUCACGGCUAACUACGUGCCAGCAGCCGCGGUAAUACGUAGGUGGCAAGCGUUGUCCGGAUUUAUUGGGCGUAAAGCGAGCGCAGGCGGAAAAAUAAGUCUAAUGUGAAAGCCCUCGGCUUAACCGAGGAACUGCAUCGGAAACUGUUUUUCUUGAGUGCAGAAGAGGAGAGUGGAACUCCAUGUGUAGCGGUGGAAUGCGUAGAUAUAUGGAAGAACACCAGUGGCGAAGGCGGCUCUCUGGUCUGCAACUGACGCUGAGGCUCGAAAGCAUGGGUAGCGAACAGGAUUAGAUACCCUGGUAGUCCAUGCCGUAAACGAUGAGUGCUAAGUGUUGGGAGGUUUUCCGCCUCUCAGUGCUGCAGCUAACGCAUUAAGCACUCCGCCCUGGGGAGUACGACCGCAAGGUUGAAACUCAAAGGAAUUGACGGGGGGCCCCCACAAGCGGUGG
rnacentral:rRNA from 1 species